AUUGAACGCUGGCGGCAUGCUUUACACAUGCAAGUCGAACGGCAGCGCGGGCUUCGGCCUGGCGGCGAGUGGCGAACGGGUGAGUAAUGCAUCGGAACGUGCCCAGUAGUGGGGGAUAGCCCGGCGAAAGCCGGAUUAAUACCGCAUACGACCUGAGGGUGAAAGCGGGGGACCGAAAGGCCUCGCGCUAUUGGAGCGGCCGAUGUCGGAUUAGCUAGUUGGUUGGGUAAAGGCUUACCAAGGCGACGAUCCGUAGCUGGUCUGAGAGGACGACCAGCCACACGGGGACGGGAACACGGCCCAGGCGCCUAAGGGAGGCCGCAGUGGGGAAUUUUGGGCAAUGGGGGCAACCCUGAUCCAGCCAUGGCGCGUGCGGGAAAGAGGCCUUCGGGUUGUAAACCGCUUUUGUUCGGGAAGAAAUCCUCUGGGCUAAUACCCCGGGGGGAUGACGGUACCGGAAGAAUAAGCACCGGCUAACUACGUG
rnacentral:rRNA from 1 species